UGGAGAUUCAUCUCCUCAGAGUGCUAAAGACUGACUGUUGGGAGCAUCCCAACAAUAAAGGGGAAGCAGGCAGUGUGUUUGUAGCCAUAAUGAGAUUGAAACUUCCUUCCCAUACCAUCUGGAAAACUUGGAGACAGAACACAUCUUCAUAAGCUUUGCAAAAAAGGCUUGAUUCCAGCUUUGGCCGGGGAUGUCAGAGGACUGAAGUCAAUGGAACAUGGACAGGAGAAAAAUCCUGCUUGCACUAGUGGCUCUUAGAAUCAGCAAAGAAAUACGCCAGAUGAAACAUACAUCUCCUCACUCUAUUUUAAUUUUGUUCUCAUUGCUAUGUUAGUUUAGUGGUUUAUACUAAAAAAACAUGUCAGGUGAAACUCAUCCAGCAAUCUCCUCAACAGUGACCUUCUAGAGCCACAGAAAAGCACCACAGCUCACAGACUUGCACUGAGCAGGAGCUUCUUCUGUGCCUUGGAUGUGUGAAGAUAACUCAUAAAAAGUGGCCAACAGACAGGUUCUGUUACUCAGCCAUUUUGGUAAUGGAAGACUGAUCUGAUUUCUGGGAAACAGACUGUGAACCUUGGUUCCUAAAUUUCUGCUAAUGUUGUAACUACCUGCCUGUUCUGCAAAGAGUGAUACCUCGAGCCAAUCUCUGGAAAUUGUUCUGAAACUUCUGAUAUCAGAGUGUACUUAAGUUAGUUUUUGUGCAGCAGUUUUAAAGACUGUCUUAUAUAAAUAAUCUCCAUUGAAAACAAGAGAAAAGAUAGCUCAUAUAGUUCAAGCAUCAUAUAGUUCAAAGCAUCAUAUAGUUCAAGUCUUUAAUGAUUAUUAAAGAUUUAAAGGAAAAAAAUCUGUACAAAAAAAUCAGAGUGCACAAUGAUACAUUUAUUCUUAGUGGUUGGAAUCCCUCAGCUUUUUUCCUAACAGUAGAUUAUUCUACUAUGAUUUAUAUUUUCAAUUUAUCUGCGCUUUUAAUUCUUGUAAGGGACACAACAUAGAUGAUACAUCUAUAUGCUAUAUCUGGCUAGGUGUUAC